rnacentral:tRNA from 1 species
GCUGGAAUAGCUCAGAUGGUAGAGCGCACCCAUGGUAAGGGUGAGGUCUCGGGUUCGAUCCCCGAUUCCAGCUCCA